CCUGAUUUGUGGCGUUACAUUUCGGAGGUUUCUGAUACAGGACAUUUUAACUUAACUUAUUACCAAAAGACCUUCUGGGUGGAUUUUGUAAGUGCUUGUCCUGUUUUUAGAAGCAGUAGAAACCCAAACGGUAGUACAAAAACAUGAAGAAAAAGAAAUUGCAGUGAAAUCAUACGAAGACGCACAAGAACGCCAAGAACAGGAAAAGCUAAUACUAAAGCAGAGCAUCAACAACUGCUUCCCCGAACUGAGAGGCUUUCUCACAUCACUGCUGCAGGUCAGCUGACCAGCUGCUCCAGAAGAUGAAGCUCAGAGGCGAUUAGACUUUUAGUUGCAUCCACAUGUUAUGAAGGUUCAUUCCUGUCUCCCUUAAAACCUUUUAAAGACUCCUAACUUUUCCCUGGCAUUCAAGAGAGAGUUGUUUGUUGUUUUGUGUGAAUUGCUGUUUAGUCAACUGUAUGUGUUUAAAUUUGCUUUACUAUGGAGCCCCCUAGGGGCAUGAGGAAAAUGUUUCUUUUUUUUCCGUUCCCUCGCAGGAAGCACGGCAAUAUUUGCUGGUCUAUUUUGUAUACAUGUAACAGGAUUUUAUUUUAACAAU